UACAGAGGGGCAAGCGUUGUUCGGAAUUACUGGCGUAAAGGGCGCGUAGGCGGCCCGCUAAGUCGAACGUGAAAUCCCCGGGCUCAACCCGGGAACUGCGUCCGAUACUGGCAGGCUUGAAUCCGGGAGAGGGAUGCGGAAUUCCAGGUGUAGCGGUGAAAUGCGUAGAGUAUCUGGAGGAACACCGGUGGCGAAGGCGGCAUCCUGGACCGGCAUUGACGCUGAGGCGCGAAAGCCGGGGAGCAAAGCGGG
rnacentral:rRNA from 1 species